rnacentral:lncRNA from 1 species
AAUCGCAGAAGCAAAGAUAUGCCCCGGUGAGUUCUCUCCUAUGGACAGAAGAAAUUUGGCUAUCAUUCCCUCUUUCAAUUCCCUCCAAGUUUGCACGGGUCGAUGAUGAUCUAGCCAUUGAAACCACUCCCAAGCUUCACCGUCCAAACAUGCCGUAGCGGCUUCCACCUUUUCCCUCUCCGACAAUUGAUUCCUUGCGAAAAUCUCCUCUGCUUUCCAUAGCCACCAAUUUGGAUUUCCAUUGUAGAAUAUUGAUAUGUUUAGUCGACCUAGCGAAUCCAAUCCUGAAUCCUUUGCUCGGUCUCCUCCUCGUUGCAACAUUAUGUGAUCAAAUCGCUUGAAUAGCAAGCUCCAUUUCUCCUCCAAUUCCUCGCUGAAUUUUGUUUCCAUCUUCCUAGAAUCGAGUGCUCUGAUACCAAUUUGAUAGGAACCCUGCUGCUGUUA